ACGAACGCUGGCGGCGUGCUUAACCCGCGCAAGGCGCAGGGAAAGGCCCCUUUGGGGGCACUCGUGUCGCGAACGGGAGAGUAACGCGUGAGUCAUCUCCCCUUGACCUCGGGAACACUACAAAAAUCGGGGGCAUAUACCGGAUAGGUAUCCUUUCCGCGGGGGGGGGGGUGGAAAUUUGCGGCGGUUUUGGGUGGACUCGCGGCUUAUCAGCUUGUUGGUGGGGUAGUGGCUUACCAAGGCUUUGGCGGGUAGCCGGCCUGAGAGGGCGACCGGCCACAUUGGGACUGAGAUACGGCCCAGACUCCUACGGGAGGCAGCAGUGGGGAAUAUUGCACAAUGGGCGGAAGCCUGAUGCAGCAACGCCGCGUGCGGGAUGACGGCCUUCGGGUUGUAAACCGCUUUCAGCAGGGGCGAAGCUUGUGGUGACGGUACCUGCAGAAGAAGCACCGGCUAACUACGUG
rnacentral:rRNA from 1 species